CCUACGGGUGGCAGCAGUGGGGGAUAUUGCACAAUGGGGGGAACCCUGAUGCAGCGACGCCGCGUGGGUGAAGAAGCGCCUCGGCGCGUAAAGCCCUGUCAGCAGGGAAGAAAAUGACGGUACCUGACGAAUAAGCCACGGCUAACUACGUGCCAGCAGCCGCGGUAAUACGUAGGUGGCAAGCGUUGUCCGGAUUUACUGGGUGUAAAGGGCGUGUAGCCGGGUUGACAAGUCAGAUGUGAAAUCCUGCGGCUUAACCGCAGAACUGCAUUUGAAACUGUUGAUCUUGAGUACUGGAGAGGCAGACGGAAUUCCUAGUGUAGCGGUGAAAUGCGUAGAUAUUAGGAGGAACACCAGUGGCGAAGGCGGUCUGCUGGACAGCAACUGACGGUGAGGCGCGAAAGCGUGGGGAGCAAACAGGAUUAGAUACCCGUGUAGUC
rnacentral:rRNA from 1 species